rnacentral:rRNA from 1 species
UUGUGUGUGCUAGAGAAAGAAGGUGGAAUGGGAUUUUGAGUUAUUCAUUGUUUUAACUUAGCCCUGCUUGCGAAACAGGCUUGGAGAUUAAUUGAUAAUCCGGAUUCCGUUUGUGUCCAUCUUCUCAAAGACAAAUAUUAUCCAGAUUGUGAUAUUUUGAAUGCAACUCUAAAAAAGAGAGACUCAUUCACAUGGGAAAGUAUUAUGUCGGGGAUGCAGACAUUAAAAAGAGGUUAG